ACCGCUGUCACGUCAUUGUUUCAGAUUGUGGUCGAGGGUGUGCGUUGCUUGGACGGGAUCGUCGCCUUCGAUAUUCAAAAUGAUCCGUGUGAUGCUUUGCCUACUGGAGGAGUUACGUGAAACGCUGAGGUGUGCGGCGUGACCGUUAGAGAGGCUGUCAGUGUUGACAUAAGGACAGGGGAGGCACGGGAAGUGUGUGUGUGUGUGUGUGUGUGUGUGUGUGUUUUGCUGUAAAAAAAAAUCACGACCGCCAUCUUACAAGUGUUUAGUGUUGUGAUAAAGUUUUAAAAUUCGUUUAUGAGUUGUUUAUUACUUACGCCACAUGAUGUAACCGUUAAGAAUGCCCCAAAUGUGAUCCAUAACUUGAGCUUGAUCAUAAGUGCAAUGGGUGUCUUCUGAUGAACUACAAUAUAAGGUGUGUGUUUAUGGGGACCGGUGCAUCAAUUGGCGUGUGCUGCCAUCACACCUCGGUACUUAUCCUCACUGUGCACAACUCAAGCCAGUGAGGGUAGCAGCCAGGUGAGCAAACCCUGCCAGCUGUCUGCCAUCCACCUGCUGGUUUCUGCUCUGUACGUUUCUGACCUUUAUUUCUCCUGGCUCAAGAGAGCGUUGGGAUACAGCAGAAUAGAAAUGAAGUAGAAGGAUGGAGAGACGAGCAGAACAGCAAGAAGGCUGCGAAACCAUGCCAGGAUCAAGAAUAUAUCACCACAAGGAGCUUAGAUGGUUCUUAACAACUCUGUGCUCUUGUUCAGCGACUUUUUUGCUUCUGGGGGGACUAAAUGUGAUGAGGAUUAAAUAUUAAGGGAUGGACGCGUAUGAUGCUGUCCACUCUCCUGGCCACGCUGGUGAUGGAUUCAUCCCUCUCACCCGACCCAGGACUCCACACAACCCAACACCACUCACCAGCUACCACCCACUACCCCACACAAUCUAAUACCAUCCAUCAACACCACCUACUACCACCCACCUCUCCGGGAGCUGCUGGUGAAAUGGACUAGCAAGAGGCUUCCAGGAAGUUCAUCUUCGAUUCUCCGUCUUCUCCCGCGCGUCCGUGUGCCGGAGUAUCGGGAUGGAGCGGCGGUAGACAGAGUGCAGAGUGCAGGCCAGCGUGAGAGGCGACCUUGGAAUGAAGUGCUGCCUCUCCGUGUUUUGUGGUCUGUAUUCUUAAACGCUUUGGAUCUUCAUCAGGAGUGUUUUCUCUGGCCAAAGAGAUGGUUAGUCAGGUUCUCCAGCGUGAUUUAUUUAUUUUUUCUAUUAUUGAUGUAGAUUCUUUGUUGAAUUGACUAGAGGUAUGAAAAUGCCCUUGAAAGCACCAAUAGCUUUCACACAAGCAUAUCAAAAUGCUCAUGGACUCUCAUCAGGACUGUCUUCAAAAGCCACGAGAUGAUUAGUCAGGUUCUCAUGACUGUUAUUUUCCAUUGCUGAUUUAGUGUCUGUUACAAUUUGACUAGAAUCAUGAAA